rfam:Ornithorhynchus anatinus chromosome 5, whole genome shotgun sequence.
AGCAGCGUGGCUCAGUGGAAAGAGCCCGGGCUUGGGAGUCGGAGUUCACGGGUUCGAAUCCCGGCUCUGCCC